UUUUAUCUCUGUAAUGUCAGCAAUUUAAUCAUGGUUGGUUGCACUUUUUGUGUACAUUAGUAAAAAAUAUAUGGCUUGUCACAUUUGUCUCCAAUAUUCCUUUAACUACACUUUAUCUGCUCUUGUUAGUACAUAUGACUUGCUGAAUCUUACCAGAAAGCUACAAAAUUCUGUCAGCUUUUACCAUUAAUCCCUAAGUAAUUCAUUUGGAUUUUUUUAAAAGAAAUUCUUUUACUUUUUUUCACUUAAUAUAGAUUUUUUUCAUAGAAUAUAUUCUGACUACUAAGUGCCUUCCCUUAACCCAUUGCAAAAUUCACCCAUGUUCCAUUCCAUUUGAAUCCACACCUUUUCUGUCUUACCAUAGAAACAAACAGGUAUGUAAGGAGUAAUAUUAAAAUAUAAAAAGAAAUAAAAUAAAUUGAAAUAGGAAAAAAAUCAACCAAAUGAAUUAAAUUAGCCAAAGAGAUGAAAAAGCCUAGGAAAAUUAUAUUGACACAGAGAUAAAAUGUUCUUACCCAUAUGAAUCUCAUAAAAACAGAAAACUGGAAGCUUUAAUGUACACAAAGAACCUGAAAGGUUAAAAACAAAUUCCCUAUCUUAACACUAUGAGGCAAAGAAGGUCCAAGAUGUUGAGUUUGUUUUGUGUUGGUCAUCUAUUAUUAGGCAUGAGGCCCAACCUUAAGUGUGGUUUGUUUCCCCAGUAAGACUCCUUUGGAGAAACCUAAUUAUUCAUUUGAAACUGUCUGCCAAUUGGAAAUAGAUUCUGCAUUGUGGAUGGAUGUGUAUUCUACCUUUCCUUCAAGCUCUAGGACUUUGUGUGGUCCAGAACCAUGCUUGUCCUAUGCAUACUGCCACAGUUUCUGUGAAGACAUAAUUUGCCAUGACUUCUAAUCCUUAAUUUAAUUAUAAAAAAGGUAAAGAAAUAGAAAUCCAGAAGAAAUGGAUUAUACUGUUACAGUUUCAUGGGUAGAAAUCCCUGUCACAUCUACUAGACAUAACCUCUAUAACCUCAAGUAGAUGUCUUUGUCUUAGGGCUCUUACAAGCUUUUUACUCCCUGCUUUCUCAACAUUCCUUAAGUUUAAGUGUAGAUAUCGUUUGAAAUUUAUCAGUUAGGAUUGAACACCCUGUGUCCAAUGCAGCUUGUCCUUUGUCUUUUGAUCAGGUGUAGAUUUCUUGAUAGUCUCCAUGUACUGAAAAACAACAUGAGCUUUGAUGAGGAGAGAAGCUACAUCAACAUAGCUCAAAACUAGAAACAACAGAGAUGCUGAUGGAGCUUUCAAUAAGAAUGGUGUCUCCUUCUGGUCUGAGUCUGUGCCCUAAGCAGACAUUGGGCACUAGCUCCACCCCCAAUCAUUCAAAUCCCAGGUGUUGUAAUAUGCCCAGUAUCAUAGGUGAGGAGGCCAUAACAUCUGCCCCAACAAACCAAUACUGGGUGUUACUGGGACCAGUGGGAUCCAGGGACACAAGAACCUCCUCCCAGAGAGUGGCACGGGUUCCUUCUGUUCUGAGCCAGUGCCCUGGGCAGAUCUUGGACGCUAGCUCCACACCCUGUCCCACAAUACCCAGAAGAAUCUCUACUCCUAGGUACAUAACACGCCCAGGGUCAUAGUUGGUCUAACACACUCAGGAUUCCAGAACUCAAAAGCUUGGUCACACCAGGAUUUUGGGACCCAAGAGGCAAAUUGACUCCCAGGAGCUCUGACACACCGAGAAUCUCAGGAUCCCAGGGUCCCAGAGACAGAUAGAUUCUGAGGAAUUCUGACACAACUAAAAUAUCAGGAGGUACAGGCUACAGUUAGAUACAGUGAGGGUAGAUAGCAAUAGAUAUAACCAGAUGGUGAGAGGCAAGCAUAAGAAUAUUAGCAACAGAAACCAAGGUUACUUGACAUCAUCAGAACCCAGAUCUUCUACCAUAGCAAGUCCUAGAUACCCCAUCACACCAGAAAUGCAAGAAUCAGAUAUAAAAUCACUUCUUAUGUUGAUGAUAGAGGACAUUAAGAAGGACAUAAAUAACUCCCCUUUAAAAAAAUACAGGAGAACAGAGAUAAACUGGUAGAAGCUAUUAAAGAAUUACAGGAAAACACAACCAAACAGGAGAAAGAAUUGAACAAGACUAUCCAGGAUAAAAAAAUGGAAAUAGAAACAAUUAAGAAAUCAAAAGAAGGAGACAACCAGGAUAUAGAAAACCUAGGAAAGCUCCUAACACAAAACGUCCAGGAAAUCGAGGACAAAAUGAGAAGAUGAAACCAAAGGAUAAUAGGUAUAGAACAGAGGGAAGAUACCUAACUUAGAUGGCCAGUAAAUAUCUUGAACAAAAUUAUAGAAGAAAACUUCCCUAACCUAAAGAAAGAGAUGCCCAUGAACAUACAAGAAGCCCUCAGAACUCCAAAUAGACUAGACUAGGAAAGAAAUUCCUCCCAGCAAUAAAAUCAAAAUACCAAAUGCACACAAAAAAAGAAAGGAUAUUAAAAGGUUAUAGGAAAAAGGUAAAGUAAAAUACAAAGGCAGACCUAUCAGAUUACACCAGACUUCUCACCAGAAACUAUAAAAGCCAGAAUAUCCUGGGCAAAUGUUAUACUGUGAGGAGGCGCCCUUGCAAUCGCCAUUACAAGAUGGCGCUGAUAUCCGGUGUUCUAACUAGUAAACAGGUAGUCUGCGCAUGUGCUGGGGUAUUUUUCCAUUCCUUGUACCAUGCCUGUCCCGUGGCGUCAUCUGGGCUGAUAGUGAGCAGCCAGUCAGGGUGAAAUAUGUCCCCAAACGCUCUUGUGAGCUAUUUAAGGACCGAGUUUCCUGUGUCCUGGGCCUCCUCCCCAGAAGCUGAUGACCUUUCUCUCAAGAUGCAUUAAAGCUAUGCUGCAGAAGAACCCGUGUGUGUCCUUGCUGGCGAGACUCCCUUAUCACACAGACACAUCUGGUGCCGAGAACCCGGGAACGCCACAACAUCGCUGGCAUUGAGAAGUUCCCCUGGAAACGGGGCAGGUCCAGAACUGCAGUGGAAGGUAAGUCCGGAGAGACAUGUCUGGCCUUGAGAAAGCAUGCCAGAAACUGAACGGAGCAAGAUAAUAGGAGCUCAUGAAAAAAAAAAAAAGACAUGUCUAAGGAAAAAGAAGGAAAAAGGACCUACCUGGACAUUAGAAAAAAAAGGGGGAGUGAAAAAGGAG
rnacentral:lncRNA from 1 species